UAGGGAAUCUUCGGCAAUGGGGGCAACCCUGACCGAGCAACGCCGCGUGAGUGAAGAAGGUUUUCGGAUCGUAAAGCUCUGUUGUAAGUCAAGAACGGGUGUGAGAGUGGAAAGUUCACACUGUGACGGUAGCCUUACCAGAAAGGGACGGCUAACUACGUGCCAGCAGCCGCGGUAAUACGUAGGUCCCGAGCGUUGUCCGGAUUUAUUGGGCGUAAAGCGAGCGCAGGCGGUUUGAUAAGUCUGAAGUUAAAGGCUGUGGCUCAACCAUAGUUCGCUUUGGAAACUGUCAAACUUGAGUGCAGAAGGGGAGAGUGGAAUUCCAUGUGUAGCGGUGAAAUGCGUAGAUAUAUGGAGGAACACCGGUGGCGAAAGCGGCUCUCUGGUCUGUAACUGACGCUGAGGCUCGAAAGCGUGGGGAGCGAACAGGAUUAGAUACCCUGGUAGUCCACGCCGUAAACGAUGAGUGCUAGGUGUUGGAUCCUUUCCGGGAUUCAGUGCCGCAGCUAACGCAUUAAGCACUCCGCCUGGGGAGUACGACCGCAAGGUUGAAACUCU
rnacentral:rRNA from 1 species